GGUUGACAGCUCCUGUGGUCUCCUGUCAGUGACUCGUCAAGGGAUGAAAUUGCGAUUACUGCCCCCAGAGCCUGGGACCUACGAGGUGAAACUGUUCGCCCGGCGAGAGGGUGAACCUGGUGCUCUGCGGUGGAUUUGCUCUCUUGAACUGGAGUGCCCGAGUAUCCAGAAGAGGCAGGCCCUGCCUGAUAACCCAUACUUGAACUGGGGCCUAGCGGCAGGGACAUCGGCACUAGGUGUCAAGGGCUGCAACUUCGCAGGAGAAGAGGCCGUAGAGGUGGAUGAAGGUGGCGAGUGCAAGGUGAUCCUACACACAUCACGACCCCUGAUGAUGGUGUGCGAGCUCACGCACCACGAGCUCGAAGCCACCACAGCCAAGCGCUGCCUUGCGUCGCAGAUCACAGCAGAGCAGCUGGUGUGUAACGUCAUGUGCCCGUACAAAGGAUUUUACCGGCUGUCUAUAUUCGUGCAGGAUUACGACAGCGGAAGUGGGACUUUUCAAAAUGCUGGGAACUACCUGCUGCACUGUCAAAGCCCAGGGUUGAACCCAAACGCUCUGUAUCCUCCAGACUUGGGCCUGUGGUGUGGUCCCGGGGUGCGUACCCAAGAAGCCGGACUGUCCCAUUUCAGCCACACAGGGGCGAUAGUAAACACACCCCAGGGCCGGUGCAACAUUACCUUCCACUGCGCUUCACCAGAGCUGCAAAUACACGCGGCGCUCUGCGCUGAGCUGCAUGAGCAGGCUCAUUUUCCUCUGUCCCGAUAUGUACUCUUGACAUUUACAGAUACUAAGGUAACCGUGAGUGUGUGCGCACCCAGAGCGGGAGUCUAUCGUCUUGGUAUUUAUGGACGCAAACCCCCUCAGCAGGACCACAUGUCACUGUGUGACUUUAUAAUCAGGAGUGUGUGUGAAAAGCCCGGAGAUCCGUUUCCAUGUGUGUAUUCAGCGUGGGGAAGAGGGUGUGUGCUGCUGGAGCCCCGCACAGGUGUACUGGCUCCACAAAGUUCGGUGAGUUUUCGCGUGCGGGUACCAGGUGCGCAAAGAGUGUGUGUGGUGGGAGAGAAACGAACCGA
rnacentral:lncRNA from 1 species